rnacentral:rRNA from 1 species
AUCGAACGCUGGCGGCAGGCCUAACACAUGCAAGUCGAACGAGUGGCGGACGGGUGAGUAAUGUCUGGGAAACUGCCCGAUGGCGGGGGAUAACUACUGGAAACGGUAGCUAAUACCGCAUACUAUCGGAUGUGCCCAGAUGGGAUUAGCUAGUAGGUGGGGUAACGGCUCACCUAGGCGAUGAUCCCUAGCUGGUCUGAGAGGAUGACCAGGCACACUGGAACUGAGACACGGUCCAGACUCCUACGGCAGGCAGCGGUGGGAGAUAUUGCGCAAUGGGCGCAAGCCUGAUGCAGCCAUGCCGCGUGUAUGAAGAGGGCGUUCAGGUUGUAAAGUACUUUCAGCGAGGAGGCGUUACUCGCAGAAGAAGCGCCGGCUAACUCCGUGCCAGCCGCCGCGGUAAUUC